UCACUUCAGCAGCUCAUAUAGUAAAAUUGAAACCACACAGAGAAGAUUAGCAAGGCCCCUGUGCAAAGAUGACAGGCAAAUUCGUGAAGCAUUCCAUAUUUUU